rnacentral:rRNA from 1 species
GAUGAACGCUGGAGGCGUGCCUUAAGCAUGCAAGUGAAACGGGUUUUUGGUCGCAAGAUCGAAAACUAGUCGCAGACGGGUGAGUAAUACAUCGGAACGUGCCUAGUAGUGGGGGAUAACUACUCGAAAGAGUGGCUAAUACCGCAUGAGAUCUACGGAUGAAAGCAGGGGAUCGCAAGACCUUGUGCUACUAGAGCGGCCGAUGGCAGAUUAGGUAGUUGGUGGGAUAAAAGCUUACCAAGCCGACGAUCUGUAGCUGGUCUGAGAGGACGAUCAGCCACACUGGGACUGAGAAACGGCCCAGAUUCCUACGGGAGGCAGCAGUGGGGAAUUUUGGACAAUGGGCGCAAGCCUGAUCCAGCAAUGCCGCGUGCAGGAUGAAGGCCUUCGGGUUGUAAACUGCUUUUGUACGGAACGAAAAGCCCCGGGUUAAUACCCUGGGGUCAUGACGGUACCGUAAGAAUAAGCACCGGCUAACUACGUGCCAGCAGCCGCCGCAG